GACGAAGGAUGCAAGCGUUAUCCGGAUUCAUUGGGUUUAAAGGGAGCGUAGGUGGCCUUAUAAGUCAGUGGUGAAAUCUCUCAGCUUAACUGAGAAAUUGCCAUUGAUACUGUAGGGCUUGAGUAUAGUUGCCGUUGGCGGAAUAUGACAUGUAGUGGUGAAAUACAUAGAGAUGUCAUAGAACACCGAUUGCGAAGGCAG
rnacentral:rRNA from 1 species